UGGAGAUGAAGAAGCUGGAUUUGCAACGGAGUCAGGAAUGAAAGAAGAAGAAGAGAGAGAUGAGAAGAGGAAUGGGAAUAUGAAGAGUUGUAAGACAGCAACUUGGGUGGUUUCAAUGGUAGUGGCAUGCCUGUUGGGAGGACUUGUUUUUGGUUGGUGGGAGUUUCAGUUUCAUCCAACAAAUAGACAACUAUGGAUGGUACCUUUUAGUCUUAUUUUGAUGAUUG
rnacentral:misc_RNA from 1 species